UACGUAGGGGGCAAGCGUUGGUCCGGAUUUAUUGGGCGUUAAAGAGCAGUGUGAGGCGGCCAGGGUAGGUCUGCUGUGAAAACAUCGAGGCUCAACUUCGAGCUGUCGGUGGAAGCUGUCUGGCUAGAGUCCGGAAGAGGAGAAUGGAAUUCCUGGUGUAGCGGUGAAAUGCGCAGAUAUCAGGAGGAACACCGGUGGCGAAGGCGGGUCUCUGGGCCGAUACUGACGCUGAGGAGCGAAAGCGUGGGGAGCGAACAGG
rnacentral:rRNA from 1 species